AGCUCAGUGGUAGAGCGUGUGCUUGGCAUGCACCAGGGCCUGGGUUCAAUCCUCAG
rnacentral:tRNA from 1 species